rnacentral:rRNA from 1 species
CCUACGGGAGGCAGCAGUGAGGAAUAUUGGUCAAUGGCCGUAAGGCUGAACCAGCCAAGUAGCGUGAGGGAAGACUGCCCUAUGGGUUGUAAACCUCUUUUAUGCGGGGAUAAAGGUGUCCACGUGUGGAUGUUUGCAGGUACCGCAUGAAUAAGGACCGGCUAAUUCCGCGCCAGCAGCCGCGGUAAUACGGAAGGUCCGGGCGUUAUCCGGAUUUAUUGGGUUUAAAGGGAGCGUAGGCCGGUCUUUAAGCGUGCCGUGAAAUUUUGUGGCUCAACCAUGGGAGUGCGGCGCGAACUGGAGACCUUGAGUGCGCGGAAGGCAGGCGGAAUUCGUGGUGUAGCAGUGAAAUGCUUAGAUAUCACGAAGAACCCCGAUGGCGAAGGCGGCCUGCCGCAGCGUUACUGACGCUGAGGCUCGAAAGCGCGGGUAUCGAACAGGAUUAGAUACCCUUGUAGUC